UACGUAGGCAGCGAGCGUUGUUCGGAAUUACUGGGCGUAAAGAGUGUGUAGGCGGUGUUCCCAGUCUGUUGUGAAAUCUCCCGGCUUAACUGGGAGGGUGCAGCGGAAACUAGAAUGCUAGAGGGUGGGAGAGGUAAGUGGAAUUCCUGGUGUAGCGGUGAAAUGCGUAGAUAUCAGGAGGAACACCUGUGGUGUAGACAGCUUACUGGACCACUUCUGACGCUGAGACACGAAAGCGUGGGUAGCAAACAGG
rnacentral:rRNA from 1 species